GACAUAUGCAAGCCAACCCAAUCCAUCUGUAGCGACUUGCCAUCCUGAGACCGCAGGGCCCGCAACCUGCAGCGACGGAGAAGUGUUUUUCGUAGAACCAUCGCGAGUUUUUACGUUUCCAGGAGACAGUGCCGUCAGCACAAAGGAAUGGCCAAUGAAGAUCGCUUUCGCUGUAGCCACUGGAGUGCACGCUGGUGCUUGGAAAUAUUGGAGCCAGCCUGACGCAACAGCGCCUUUCCCGUGUUUGUGCACAGCGGACAGAACCUAUGACUUGGUCCGAGGGUUCAUCGGCGAAAUUGCUGAUGAAAUACUCAUUAAUCCACCAGUGACUUGAUGUCAACUAGAAGCGCUCGCUUCUGGCCACCUUACUUCUGCAGUAUGGAGUACCUUGAUCAACUGACUUGGGAGGAGCACACGGCACAGCAAGCCGGCGUGUCGUACCACUGUCACCACUCCGGUUAUAUCAGUUUGACGGCCUAAUAACGAAAACGGCGCUUCUCACCACGAGGAAUAUAAUGGGUUCGGACACUUACGGUAGUCGGAUUACAGUACCUGGAACAAGUGCUCCGGAGACGAAGCAUCUAGAAGACAAGACAACAUGGCUUUCCGUGCCAUAGCAUCUGACCUUCCAGCAGUACGAGCAUGUUGUUCCAAGUCUCGUACAUUUUUCUCUGUUCUAGGCUACCUUCUAGCCUGUACUAAACCGACCAUAAUAAACUCCCGUUAAC